ACUCCCACUCGGCCUUUUGGCUAAGAUCAAGUGUAGUAUCUGUUCUUAUCAGAUUUACUCUUUUUAAUGAAGUAUUUUGCCUGCUUUUACCUAUUUGCUGUACAUUUU
ensembl:snRNA U2 U2 spliceosomal RNA